rnacentral:rRNA from 1 species
ACAUGCAAGUCGAACGAAGCUAAGGGGGCAACCCCUUAAACUGAGUGGCAGACGGGUGAGGAAUACGUAGGAAUCUACCUUAAAGCGGGGGAUAACUCGGGGAAACCCGAACUAAUACCGCAUGUGCUCUACGGAGUAAAGCCGGGGAUCUUUUGACCUGGCACUUUAAGAUGAGCCUACGUCGGAUUAGCUUGUUGGUGGGGUAAAGGCCUACCAAGGCAACGAUCCGUAGCUGGUCUGAGAGGAUGAUCAGCCACACUGGGAUUGAGAUACGGCCCAGACUCC